UCUUGAAACCAUGUAGUGAAAAUAGUGGGAGUUUAAAUAAAAGCAACAUUUCACAGUAUGCUUUUCUGACCAAUGUUAUAUCUAAUACCCUAAUGGAUUAUAUGUACAUGGAUUCUGAAAAGUCAGCAGCACACUUCACUGGUCAAUUUCUAUGAUAAGGGGAACGGAAUUUGAGUGUAGAAAAACAGUAUACUUACAUCUUAAAAUUCCACCCCUACAGAAUCUACUCACUAUUGAAAACUGAGAAAGAAACACACAGAGACAAUUCCAUGUGACAACAGUGAAAGAGACCAGAGUGAUGCAGCUGCAAAUCAAAAAACUGCCAACACCAGUGAUUGAUGGCCACCACCAGAAUCUGGUUAAGACAAAGAAGGAUCCUCCCCUUGAGGCGUCAGAAAGAACAUGGCCCUCUCAACACUUUGAGUUUGAACUUCUGGCCUCUAGAGCUGUGAUAAAAUAAAUUUCUGUUCUUUUAAGCUAACAAGUUUGUGGUAUCUUGUCAUGGUAGCCCUAGAGAUGACAGUAUUUGAUUCCUGAGCUGGCAACUGUAUUUUGACUAUGUAAUGACUAUUCCAAGAUAAUCAACAGACACAAAGAUAAAGGCAAAACUGAGACUAAGCCCAGUUCUUUUUAUUCCCAGAAUAAUAAAUGAUUUUUUAAUUAAUUUAGAUCUCUUUGUCUAACCCCUCUGCUUUUCAGAAGAGUAUGUGGGACCAAUCAAGUAUUAAUAUGUUAUACUUUCAUUUUAAUUCAUCUCAAAUUAUUUCUAAUUCCCCUUAUGAGUUCUUACUUGACCCAUGAAUUAUUUAGGAAUAUAUUCUUUAAUUUCCAUUUGUGAUUUUCAACAAAUUUCUUUCUGUUAACGAUUUCUUAUUGCAUUCUGUUUUCAUCUGAGAGCACUCUUUGUAUUGUUUAUGUCCUUUAAAAUGUACUGAAAUUUGUUUUAUGGCCUAGCAUAUAGUAUAUCCAUGUGCAUUUGAAAAGAAUGUAUAUUCUGAUGCUGUUGGGUGGAAUGUUUUAUAGAUGGCUGUUAGGUCUACUUGAUUGAUAAUGCUGUUCAAGGUUUUUAUUUUCUUGUUGAUUUUCUGUCUGUUCUGCUAUUGAAAGAAGGGUAUUAAAGUAUCCAACUAUUAUUGUAGAA